rnacentral:tRNA from 1 species
CAGGGAGACAACAAAAUGUUAAAUAUUAAUUUUGUCACCUUAGGUCGAUCGGUAUCUCACAUUCUUAAUUUAUUAAGAAUUUUAUUUCCUAAGUUUUUUCUAGGUCACACCCAUUAUUUUUCCUGGGCCAUUAGCUCAGGUGGUUAGAGCGCACCCCUGAUAAGGGUGAGGUCCCUGGUUCAAGUCCAGGAUGGCCCAUAUCUCUAUGUUGGGGGUAUAGCUCAGUUGGUAGAGCGCCUGCUUUGCAAGCAGGAUGUCAGCGGUUCGAGUCCGCUUACCUCCACUGAUUACCACCUCUUCCAUAAUUUACAGAAAGGAAAUUUUUUGAGUUGUGAUCAAAUUCUGAACGAAUCUAGCUUCCUAAUAAUCUUAUUAAGAUGCUGGACUCAUUGAAUUAAUUUUCAUUGUUUUCAGAGAACCUUGACAACUGCAUAGAUUAUUUUUAAAGACAAUAAGCAUCUUUAAAUGAUGCAGAUUUAUUAUUUGUGCGAAUGCAUUAAAUAACAAUUCUAUUAAGCUGAUGCUUCAAAUUUUUGAAGUUAUU